AAGCCCUUCUCCUUGUGCCGUACGCCCCCUCUCCUCUCCCCUUGGUUUCAGCCGCAAGCCCUUCUCCUUGUGCCGUACGCCCCCUCUCCUCUCCCCUUGGUUUCCGCCUAGAAAAAGAUGGGAGGCGUGCUCCCUUCCUUCCUCUCUUCUUAGGUUCCAACGCAGGAAAAAGAAAAUGCUGCAAAGCUUGGUGAUCUUCUUCCUUGGUUGUUCUAUCUUCUUCCUCCUCCCAAGUACAAUCAAGGGUUGAUUCAAAAGGAGGACAUCAGCCAUCUAAAGUAGUCUCUGCAAGGGAGCUAGCACCCCGGGGAGACAAGAAAGCUUUGAUCGGAUCUCUGCUUCGUGUGGAUACCCGUAGAGGCCGGACACGUGAACGACUUCAAGCAAACCUUCAUCCUAAAUCACGAUCAUCAGUUUGCGGUGAUCAUCUAUCCGCACAAGGUGAAGAUCUAAUCUUCAUAUUUGUUUAAAAGUUUUUAAUUCUAAUCCAUCUACGAACGGUUUUUCAAUAACGUUCAUAGGAUGAACGUUGAUCCCGUGCAUGCCACUUCCGCUGCAUCUGAAAUUUUUUAAUUUUUUGCGGCAUGGGCGGGUUCCCAACAAAACAUAGAUUUUUUAAACUAUUAGAUGUAAGUAUAAUUUAUUCCUAAUCUUAAGGGACUUUUGUGAUUUACUCAUCACCCAGAGGAAAUUUUGACUUUUUAUAUAAAGAAACACAUUUAGUAAUGUUGUUAAUUUAAUUUAUUGUAAGUGUAGAUUUUACAAACUAAUGAGUAUAAGUGUAAUAAACAUAAAUCUCAAGGGAAUUUUUAUAAUUUACUCUUUUUCUUACAACAUGUAUUACUAAAUGAUAAAUAGAGAAGGGGGUGGCCGCUGGUUUUGUUGCGAAAAAUUGUGAUCAACGAUACUAAUAAGCGUCGUCUUAGCUCUAAAACUACGACGACGCUUAUUUGCAUCGUCUAUUGCCGACGGUUUUAGAAAGCGUCGGCAAUUUUUGGGGCUCGACCGAAAAUUGUCGACAAGCGUCAGUAAAAAAACCAUAAGUAAAACUGACUUUUCUUAUAAUACACAUUAUAUAAAUAUUUUUUUUAAAAAAUUUGAAUUAGUUUUGAAUCAAAUCUGAGCUUGCUUCCUUUAAUUCUUGAUCUUAGAAUAUAAAGUUUAAUUGGGUUGUCCCCGUACGAGGGAGCGGAAACGAGAGUUGAGUUUCUCUAUCCUUCUAGCCGUCAGCCUUCAGCCGGAGCGUGAAUUUGAAGUCUGUUAUUGGUUUGCAAAAUGAUACGGCCAUCUUCUCCAUGAAAGACGUACGUGUACUGGUUGUAAAUAUCGGCAUGAUGCUCUUCCUACCAUUUGAUAUCAGCUAGGAAAUUUUAAAUUAUUAUUCUUAAAGAGACGAGGAUAUUUUUAUGUGCUUUGAGCUCUUUUUCCGCCGGCAUUAAUCGUUUGUAAGCGAGGAGACAUGUACUGCUAAAGGGUGCUGCCUCACACACCGUACGGGGCUUAUAUAAUCACGGCUCGGCUGCCAUAUGUAUUAUAUGGACCACCGUGAUUAUAAAUAUGGAUCACCUUUCUCUUCUAGACCUCCAUUGGUAGACCUGCUUAUCAAACGAGUCUAGCUGAGUUUAAAUCGGGCUCAAC
rnacentral:lncRNA from 1 species